rnacentral:rRNA from 1 species
AGCGAACGCUGGCGGCAGGCCUAACACAUGCAAGUCGAACGCGCCCUUCGGGGCGAGUGGCGGACGGGUGAGUAACACGUGGGAACGUGCCCUUUGGUUCGGAAUAACUCAGGGAAACUUGAGCUAAUACCGGAUGAGCCCUACGGGGGAAAGAUUUAUCGCCGAAGGAGCGGCCCGCGUCUGAUUAGCUAGUUGGUGAGGUAAAGGCUCACCAAGGCUACGAUCAGUAGCUGGUCUGAGAGGAUGAUCAGCCACACUGGGACUGAGACA